rnacentral:rRNA from 1 species
GGCAGUGGAGACAGGUGGUGCAUGGUUGUCGUCAGCUCGUGUCGUGAGAUGUUGGGUUAAGUCCCGCAACGAGCGCAACCCUUACCUUCAGUAGCCAGCACAUAAUGGUGGGCACUCUGGAGGGACUGCCGGGGACAACCCGGAGGAAGGUGGGGACGACGUCAAAUCAUCAUGCCCCUUAUGGCCUGGGCUACACACGUGCUACAAUGGCGUAAACAGAGGGAGGCAGCCCCGCGAGGGUGAGCAAACCCCAAAAAUAACGUCCCAGUUCGGAUUGCAGUCUGCAACUCGACUGCAUGAAGCUGGAAUCGCUAGUAAUCGCGGAUCAGAAUGCCGCGGUGAAUACGUUCCCGGGUCUUGUACACACCGCCCGUCACACCAUGGGAGUUGGUAACGCCCGAAGUCAGUGACCUAACCGAAAGGGAGGAGCUGCCGAAGGUGGGACCAGUGACUGGGGUGAAGUCGUAACAAGGUAGCCGUAUCGGAAGGUGCGGCUGGAUCACCUC